rnacentral:rRNA from 1 species
UACCCUGGGUAGUCCACGCCGUAAAACGAUGGAUACUUGGUGUGGGAGGUAUUGACCCCUUCCGUGCCGCAGUUAACACAAUAAGUAUCCCACCUGGGGAGUACGGCCGCAAGGUUGAAACUCAAAGGAAUUGACGGGGGCCCGCACAAGCAGUGGAGUAUGUGGUUUAAUUCGAAGCAACGCGAAGAACCUUACCAGGUCUUGACAUCCCGAUGACCGCCCUAGAGAUAGGGUUUCCCUUCGGGGCAUCGGAGACAGGUGGUGCAUGGUUGUCGUCAGCUCGUGUCGUGAGAUGUUGGGUUAAGUCCCGCAACGAGCGCAACCCUUACGGUUAGUUGAUACAUUAGGUUGAUCACUCUAGCCGGACUGCCGUUGACAAAACGGAGGAAGGUGGGGACGACGUCAAAUCAUCAUGCCCCUUAUGACCUGGCUACACACGUACUACAAUGGCAGUCAUACAGAGGGAAGCAAAGCAGCGAUGCGGAGCAAACCCCUAAAAGCUGUCUCAGUUCAGAUUGCA